GCCAGACUCCUACGGGAGGCAGCAGUGGGGGAUAUUGCACAAUGGGGGAAACCCUGAUGCAGCGACGCCGCGUGAGUGAAGAAGUAUUUCGGUAUGUAAAGCUCUCUCAGCAGGGAAGAAAAAAGACGGUACCUGACUAAGAAGCCCCGGCUAACUACGUGCCAGCAGCCGCGGUAAUACGUAGGGGGCAAGCGUUAUCCGGAUUUACUGGGUGUAAAGGGAGCGUAGACGGCAAUACAAGUCGGAAGUGAAAUACCCGGGCUCAACCUGGGAACUGCUUUGGAAACUGUAUGGCUGGAGUGCUGGAGAGGUAAGCGGAAUUCCUAGUGUAGCGGUGAAAUGCGUAGAUAUUAGGAGGAACACCAGUGGCGAAGGCGGCUUACUGGACAGUAACUGACGUUGAGGCUCGAAAGCGUGGGGAGCAAACAGGAUUAGAUACCCUUGUA
rnacentral:rRNA from 1 species